AGGUCUGUAAUCUUGGUGGGCGAUACAGAGUUGUGUGCGUUCACUGUAAGUGCAGACCAACAAGAAGUUGACCCUACUUUUGAGCUCCCUCUUUAAUGGGGGGAUUCUUCCAGUUGCCGGGAGAAAAUGGUAACUAAAGCUAGAGAGUAGGGACAAGGCAAGUUGAAAA